GACGAAAGUCUGACCGAGCAACGCCGCGUGAGUGAAGAAGGUUUUCGGAUCGUAAAACUCUGUUGUUAGAGAAGAACAAGGAUGAGAGUAACUGUUCAUCCCUUGACGGUAUCUAACCAGAAAGCCACGGCUAACUACGUGCCAGCAGCCGCGGUAAUACGUAGGUGGCAAGCGUUGUCCGGAUUUAUUGGGCGUAAAGCGAGCGCAGGCGGUUUCUUAAGUCUGAUGUGAAAGCCCCCGGCUCAACCGGGGAGGGUCAUUGGAAACUGGGAGACUUGAGUGCAGAAGAGGAGAGUGGAAUUCCAUGUGUAGCGGUGAAAUGCGUAGAUAUAUGGAGGAACACCAGUGGCGAAGGCGGCUCUCUGGUCUGUAACUGACGCUGAGGCUCGAAAGCGUGGGGAGCAAACAGGAUUAGAUACCCUGGUAGUCCACGCCGUAAACGAUGAGUGCUAAGUGUUGGAGGGUUUCCGCCCUUCAGUGCUGCAGCUAACGCAUUAAGCACUCCGCCUGGGGAGUACGACCGCAAGGUUGAAACUCAAAGGAAUUGAC
rnacentral:rRNA from 1 species